GAUGAACGCUGGCGGCGUGCCUAAUACAUGCAAGUCGAGCGAAUGGAUUAAGAGCUUGCUCUUAUGAAGUUAGCGGCGGACGGGUGAGUAACAAGUGGGUAACCUGCCCAUAAGACUGGGAUAACUCCGGGAAACCGGGGCUAAUACCGGAUAACAUUUUGCACCGCAUGGUUCGAAAUUGAAAGGCGGCUACGGCUGUAACUUAUGGAUGGACCCGCGUCGCAUGAGCUAGUUGGUGAGGUAACGGCUCACCAAGGCAACGAUGCGUAGCCGACCUGAGAGGGUGAUCGGCCACACUGGGACUGAGACACGGCCCAGACUCCUACGGGAGGCAGCAGUAGGGAAUCUUCCGCAAUGGACGAAAGUCUGACGGAGCAACGCCGCGUGAGUGAUGAAGGCUUUCGGGUCGUAAAACUCUGUUGUUAGGGAAGAACAAGUGCUAGUUGAAUAAGCUGACACCUUGACGGUACCUAACCAGAAAGCCACGGCUAACUACGUGCCAGCCGCCGCGGUAA
rnacentral:rRNA from 1 species